AGAACACAGGUGCGUGCAUGGCUGUCGGUCAGCUCGUGUCGUGAGAUGUUGGGUUAAGUCCCGCAACGAGCGCAACCCUUGUCACUAGUUGCCAUCAUUGGUUGGGCACUCUAGUGAGACUGCCGGUGACAAACCGGAGGAAGGUGGGGAUGACGUCAAGUCCUCAUGGCCCUUAUGGGUAGGGCUUCACACGUCAUACAAUGGUCGGUACAGAGGGUUGCCAAGCCGCGAGGUGGAGCCAAUCCCUUAAAGCCGAUCGUAGUCCGGAUCGUAGUCUGCAACUCGACUACGUGAAGUCGGAAUCGCUAGUAAUCGCAGAUCAGCAUGCUGCGGUGAAUACGUUCCCGGGUCCU
rnacentral:rRNA from 1 species